CUUGGGUGCGGCAUAACCCCGGGAAACUGGGGAUAAUUCCGGAUAACGCAUAUAUGCUGGAAUGCUUUAUGCGUAAAAUGGAUUCGUCUGCCCAAGGAUGGGUCUGCGGCCUAUCAGGUAGUAGUGGGUGUAAUGUACCUACUAGCCAACAACGGGUACGGGUUGUGAGAGCAAGAGCCCGGAGAUGGAUUCUGAGACAUGAAUCCAGGCCCUACGGGGCGCAGCAGGCGCGAAAACUUUACAAUGCGGGAAACCGUGAUAAGGGGACACCGAGUGCCAGCAUCAUAUGCUGGCUGUCCAGGUGUGUAAAAUACAACCUGUCAGCAAGGGCCGGGCAAGACCGGUGCCAGCCGCCGCGGUAACGCCGGCGGCCCGAGUGGUGAUCGUGAUUAUUGGGUCUAAAGGGUCCGUAGCCGGUUUGGUCAGUCCUCCGGGAAAUCUGAUGGCUCAACCAUUAGGCUUUCCGGGGGAUACUGCCAGGCUUGGAACCGGGAGAGGUAAGAGGUACUACAGGGGUAGGAGUGAAAUCUUGUAAUCCCUGUGGGACCACCUGUGGCGAAGGCGUCUUACCAGAACGGGUUCGACGGUGAGGGACGAAAGCUGGGGGCACGAACCGGAUUAGAUACCCGGGUAGUCCCAGCCGUAAACGAUGCUCGCUAGGUGUCAGGCAUGGCGCGACCGUGUCUGGUGCCGCAGGGAAGCCGUGAAGCGAGCCACCUGGGACGUCCGCCCGCAAG
rnacentral:rRNA from 1 species